UGUAGAAUUGUUCGUGAAUAUAUCAAGAUUUCAGAUCUUGAUUCACAAAGGAAAACCGUAGAUCUGAGAAAAACGUUCAAGAUCUUACCCCGCGGAUUUUCUCGAUCUCUUGACAAAAAAUGUGACUCUGAACGCCAACAUCUUCUUCUUCCUUCCAAGAAG